CCGUCUCAACAAUAUCGGUAUGACGGCAAUUCCGUUCGAACAAGAUCAAUAUCAGUAUCAAUACAAUGUGAACUGUUAAGGGUUGUUUGUUUUUCCAAUAAGAGCUUCCGUCGCGCAGACCACACGCAGACCUUUGAGUUUGAAGACUGUUUGUUUUCUCGAAGACCUUUCAUUAAAAAAGGUCUGCGCGUCCUCUUUUUGGUGCAGAUGUGAACUCUACUCUUCUAACCUCUUUUUCUCCUUUGCCAUAUUCUCAAAACACAGAUGCUCCUCCUCCCACACAACCCCUAGCACCUUCUCCUCCACCCCUUACUCCUCCCAGCCGCCACCUCCACAUCGCCGCCCACUCCGCGACCUCCACAGCGUCGACCACUUCGCCAACCUCCACAGCGUCGCCGUCACCUCCACUCCUCUCCUCAACCGACGCCGUCGACCACCCCUCCUCCUUCAACAGAACUCGUCGACCACCCCUUUCUCCCUCAACAACAAGCAACAACUGUUAUAGCUCACUCCUCUCCUCCUUAAGAGUGCAGAGGUUUGGUUCACCUCUUCAGCUACAGAUAUGGUUCGCAGACUGUAGACGUUUUACCUCUGAAAAAACAAAAAACACCUUAGUAAUAUUCGUUUUUACAAUGUUGAUCAAUGUAAAACACGUAUCACUAUCCUUUGGGGUAUACAAUGACUCUUUUUAUUGCUA